CUUGAAUAUUAUUAUAGAUAGAGAUAAACUGUAAACAGCAAUAAUGUUCAGUAAAGUAAGAUCUACAAAUAAGUCAACAUGACCAAAAUGGUCAGUUGACCCGUUUAGGAGUUAUUGCCCUUUAUAGUCAAUUUUUAACCAUUUUUCGUAAAUUAAAGUAAUCUUUACAAAAAUCUUCUCCUCUGAAACUACUGGGCCAAAUUAAUCCAAACUUGGCCACAAUCAUCUUUGGGGUAUCUAGUUUAAAAAAUGUGUGGCGUGACCUGGUCAACCAACCAAGAUGGCCGCCACCGCUAAAAAUAGAACAUAGGGGUAAAAUGCAGUUUUUGGCUUAUAACUCAAAAACCAAAGCAUUUUGAGGAAAUCUGACAGGGAUAAAAAUGUUUAUCAGGUCAAGAUCUAUCUGCCCUGAAAUUUUCAGAUGAAUCGGUCAAUCGGUUGUUGGGUUGCUGCCCCUGAAUUGGUAAUUUUGACGAAAUUUUGCUGUGUUUGGUUAUUAUCUUGAAUAUUAUUAUAGAUAGAGAUAAAUUGUAAACAGCAAUAAUGUUCAGCAAAG
rnacentral:lncRNA from 1 species